GGGGAUAUAGCUCAGUGGUAAAGCACCUGCCUAGCAUGUGUGAGGCCCUGGGUUUAAUCCCCAGUAUGACCA
rnacentral:tRNA from 1 species